CUUAUGUCCUCCAAACUUUAGGCCUGAGCCAAAUGUGCCAGGCGUGUGUGCCAGGCGUGUGGUACAGGUCCUGGCAAAGAGAUCCACAGGGUGCUGGCCGGUAGCCUGUCCAAGCAGACGAGACCCAACAUGGCCACAGGAAGAGGUGGGACCAGGGAGGUGUACAGCCUUGCUGCAUGAACCAAAGGACUUGAUACACGUCCCUGUUUGUUCGCUUACACUGCAUAGCUUUUUCAUCUGCUUAUCUUUCCUGUGUUGCUUGCGAGACUGAAGACACCGUUAAGAACCGGGACCAGAGGCCCAGUGUCUGCACCGUCCCAGCAUCUCUCUGGCAUCCAGCAUGAAGUUGCUUUGAGGACCGAGUCGGACGAUGGGAGAGGAUACAGAAGUCCGGAGUCCCGGAUGACAUCCCAUCCUGGAAUACGGUACUGCUGAUAUCUGCCUUCCCUCUCCCAUCAAACCUUUCUGGAGACAUUGCCGAAGACACGCCCAGAGAUGUGCUUCUAUGCUGCUGCACACAGGAUGCUGAGCACUGAGCCUGUCUUGAGGAACCCUCGGAGCUGUCUGGCUGAUGGAGUUACUCCUCGGGGUGUGGCUGGCGGUGAUUGUAUUACCCUUUUCUUUCCAGUGUGGGCACCAGCCAGCAUUAGCCCUGCAGUGUUUGCUAUGGGCUGGCUGGAGGCUGGCAAGGGUGCUAACUGUGCUGCAGAUGUAAGAAGACCCCACUAAGGAAGGCCGGACACCCCCAGGAGCUGCACAGCAUACCUCAGAUGGGGCUCUGCAGAGUUAGCUCCCCUGACCCGAGGCUCUGGGGCCUGUGUGGGAGCCACGUCCCCACUGGCUUUGGAGGACAGCUAGAUGCCUGUGUCAGCCAGACUCUUGUACAGCCAUUGACAUGCUGACCAGGACCCUGACUGUCAGUGAUGCCUUGGGAAAUCUAGACCUUCAGAGACCCAUCCUUCGGGCUGCUCUGACCCCACCUCCCUCUGCUCUGCAGGUCAGGCCACCACCUCUCUCUGGGGGCUGCAAGGAUCUCCUGCCUGACCAUCCUGCUGGGUGUUCUCAAUGCACAGGUCACAGAGGGCCUGGGAAAACCACAUGGCACCUUGGUGGUUCCUGAGCUUGGAGUGACUCCUGGAUCCACUACACCUCACCAAUGCUAAAGCUGCAGACGUGCUGGGGAGGGGGUCCUGUGGGAGGGUCCUGCACUCUGGGGGGGGUGUUCCAUUUUGUUAGCUCCACUCCGUUUCUUCUCCCUCUUCCU